GGUCGCAAUAGAAACUUCGAUGCAUAGGGAAUAGGACUGGCCAUUUUCCACGAAAAUAAAUCUCAGGUCCUAUGGAAAAGAUGAAACCAGUAGUAAACUGGAUCUAACUAAAGCUGCAACAAAGCCCAGAACCAUCUCAACUAUGGAUUGGAUUGACUGUCACUUCACACUCUCCACCCUGCACCAUCCCACAGUAGAGGCCUGACAGAGAAAGGAAUGUGCCCUUUCCUGGAGUUAACCUGCUCUGUGGACUGAAUUGCGUCUCCCCAUCUCCAAAUUCAUAUGUUGAAGACCUAACCCUCAAUGUGAUAGUAUUUAAAGACAGGACUUUUAAAGAGGUAAUUAAGGUUAAAUGAAGUCUUAAGUGUGGGGCUCUAAUUUGGUAGGACUGGUGUCCCUAUAAGAAGAAAAAGGGAAACUAGGGGCUUUUGCACAUAGAAGAGGCCACAGAGAGAAGAUGGCCAUAUGCUCACCAAGGAACGGAGCCUCAGGAAUUACUAGCCCUGCUCACAACUUCAUCUUGGAUUUUCGGCUUUCCCAACUAUGAGACAAUAAAAUUCUGUUGUUUAAGCCAAAGCAGGGCAAACAACCACAGCCUCCUCCACUCAAAAGGACAGAUACUGAUUGCUUCAUAUUUCCCAUAAGCCAAUAACAUUCCAAUCAUCCAUCAUAUCAAGUUCAAAAUAUUUCUAUGGAAAGAAACCGAUUCUGUGGACAUUUAAAUGUCUGAUCUUGUGUAGCAUAUGCUAGGAUAUAAAUACAUUUACUGAAUGAAUGGUUGGUACUAAAUACUGUAAUGUCUGAAAAUCUCGGUGUGAUUAAAAUGUUUCCUUUUUCUCUUUAAUGACAAACACUGAAUGGAU